CAGUCGCCGCGGUAAUACGAAGGGGGCUAGCGUUGUUCGGAAUUACUGGGCGUAAAGCGCACGUAGGCGGAUAUUUAAGUCAGGGGUGAAAUCCCAGAGCUCAACUCUGGAACUGCCUUUGAUACUGGGUAUCUUGAGUAUGGAAGAGGUGAGUGGAAUUCCGAGUGUAGAGGUGAAAUUCGUAGAUAUUCGGAAGAACACCAGUGGCGAAGGCGGCUCACUGGUCCAUUACUGACGCUGAGGCACGAAAGCGUGGGGAGCAAACAGGAUUAGAUACCCCUGUAGUCCCUGUCUCUUAUAC
rnacentral:rRNA from 1 species